AACGAACGCUGGCGGCAGGCUUAACACAUGCAAGUCGAGCGCCCCGCAAGGGGAGCGGCAGACGGGUGAGUAACGCGUGGGAAUCUACCCAUCUCUACGGAAUAACGCAUGGAAACGUGUGCUAAUACCGUAUACGUCCUUCGGGAGAAAGAUUUAUCGGAGAUGGAUGAGCCCGCGUUGGAUUAGCUAGUUGGUGGGGUAAAGGCCUACCAAGGCGACGAUCCAUAGCUGGCCUGAGGGGAUGAUCAGCCACACUGGGACUGAGACACGGCCCAGACGCCUACGGGAGGCAGCAGUGGGGAAUAUUGGACAAUGGGCGCAAGCCUGAUCCAGCCAUGCCGCGUGAGUGAUGAAGGCCCUAGGGUUGUAAAGCUCUUUCACCGGUGAAGAUAAUGACGGUAACCGGAGAAGAAGCCCCGGCUAACUUCGUGCCAGCAGCCGCAGUAAAAC
rnacentral:rRNA from 1 species